UACAGAGGGUGCAAGCGUUACUCGGAAUUACUGGGCGUAAAGCGUGCGUAGACGGUUAUGUAAGUCGGUUGUGAAAGCCCCGGGCUCAACCUGGGAAUUGCAUUCGAGACUGCAUAGCUAGGGUGCGGAAGAGGGAAGCGGAAUUUCCGGUGUAGCGGUGAAAUGCGUAGAUAUCGGAAGGAACACCAGUGGCGAAAGCGGCUUCCUGGUCCAGCACCGACGUUCAGGCACGAAAGCGUGGGGAGCAAACAGG
rnacentral:rRNA from 1 species